rnacentral:rRNA from 1 species
GACGAACGCUGGCGGCGUGCCUAAUACAUGCAAGUUGAGCGCUGAAGGUUGGUACUUGUACCAACUGGAUGAGCAGCGAACGGGUGAGUAACGCGUGGGGAAUCUGCCUUUGAGCGGGGGACAACAUUUGGAAACGAAUGCUAAUACCGCAUAAAAACUUUAAACACAAGUUUUAAGUUUGAAAGAUGCAAUUGCAUCACUCAAAGAUGAUCCCGCGUUGUAUUAGCUAGUUGGUGAGGUAAAGGCUCACCAAGGCGAUGACACAUAGCCGACCUGAGAGGGUGAUCGGCCACAUUGGGACUGAGACAAGGCCCAAACUCCUACGGGAGGCAGCAGUAGGGAAUCUUCGGCAAUGGACGAAAGUCUGACCGAGCAACGCCGCGUGAGUGAAGAAGGUUUUCGGAUCGUAAAACUCUGUUGGUAGAGAAGAACGUUGGUGAGAGUGGAAAGCUCAUCAAGUGACGGUAACUACCCAGAAAGGGACGGCUAACUACGUG